rnacentral:tRNA from 1 species
GGAGGGAUGGCCGAGAGGCUGAAGGCGACGGUUUGCUAAACCGUUAUACGGUGUUAAGUCGUAUCGAGGGUUCGAAUCCCUCUUCCUCCGCCA